UAGGGAAUCUUCGGCAAUGGGGGGAACCCUGACCGAGCAACGCCGCGUGAGUGAAGAAGGUUUUCGGAUCGUAAAGCUCUGUUGUUAAGGAAGAACGAGUGUGAGAAUGGAAAGUUCAUGCUGUGACGGUACUUAACCAGAAAGGGACGGCUAACUACGUGCCAGCAGCCGCGGUAAUACGUAGGUCCCGAGCGUUGUCCGGAUUUAUUGGGCGUAAAGCGAGCGCAGGCGGUUAGAAAAGUCUGAAGUGAAAGGCAGUGACUCAACCAUUGUAGGCUUUGGAAACUGUUUAACUUGAGUGCAGAAGGGGAGAGUGGAAUUCCAUGUGUAGCGGUGAAAUGCGUAGAUAUAUGGAGGAACACCGGUGGCGAAAGCGGCUCUCUGGUCUGUAACUGACGCUGAGGCUCGAAAGCGUGGGGAGCGAACAGG
rnacentral:rRNA from 1 species